UCUGUCACACAAGUCAAUUCUUGUGCUUAUCUUGCUUUUCCAAUUCAAAUUUAAAGCAACAUGCACUAGGUUUUUAUUUCUCUUGUGAACUUUGGUUUGUUCAGAAAAUAUAUUCUAGCUAGACACAUAAAAUAGAUCAUUUUCAGCGGAUUCAUUCGAGCACCGCUGUCCCUUUCAACUCCAUGCUCUUUUUCGAUGAUGAGAAUAGGAACAUCCAAUCGGAUUGUGUUGCUACAAGAUGGUACACAGCCCCAAAGCUGUAUGGCUCCUUCUUUUCUAAGCUGCAGUUGAAGCACUGUGAAGAUGGUAGAGAAAGUGGAAGAGUUUAACAUGAAGUGAGUGAUAGAGGAAU